rnacentral:rRNA from 1 species
AACGAACGCUGGCGGCAUGCCUAACACAUCCAAGUCGAACGAGACCUUCGGGUCUAGUGGCGCACGGGUGCGUAACGCGUGGGAACCUGCCCUUAGGUUCGGAAUAACUCCCCGAAAGGGGUGCUAAUACCGGAUAAUGUCUUCGGACCAAAGAUUUAUCGCCUUUGGAUGGGCCCGCGUUGGAUUAGCUAGUUGGUAGGGUAAAAGCCUACCAAGGCGACGAUCCAUAGCUGGUCUGAGAGGAUGAUCAGCCACACUGGGACUGAGACACGGCCCAGACUCCUACGGGAGGCAGCAGUGGGGAAUAUUGGACAAUGGGCGAAAGCCUGAUCCAGCAAUGCCGCGUGAGUGAUGAAGGCCUUAGGGUUGUAAAGCUCUUUUACCCGGGAUGAUAAUGACAGUACCGGGAGAAUAAGCUCCGGCUAACUCCGUG